AGGCUUCUCUAUGACACGUCAGACACGCGAUCUUCAGAGGCGAGACCCGGCCCUUUUUCUUUUCAUCUUUUCCGCCAUCUUCGUUUCAUUCGAUCGCCGUUCUGGCUACUAGCAAUCAAUUCCAUAUCGAGCAAUCAAUCUCUUCUCUAUUAUUAAACGUAGUUUGAUCUCAUAAAUGGAGACUUUUGGCUUUCACGAUCUGAGAUUCUAUAUAUAUAGAUCUCACUCUCAACCUCUUCCCUUCACCAGAAAUUAUUCUCUUCCUGCGAGGUGAUUGCGUUCGACGAUAAAAGGUAUGAGCUCUUGCGUUUAGAAUCAUCUUCUCAUCUAUUCUAAACUAAACAUCAAAGAAAAAAAAUGUGAUUGUGGCGAACGCUUUGGUUUCCUCUCCGAUUUAUAAACUGGCCGCUCUUCCUCCACUGUUCAAGUCGCCUGCUUCGAUCUACAGAAGUCAGUCGAUGUUCUUCAACCAUGGCGGUGAGUUUUCUAAGAUUCUGGGAAGCCAGAAACGUCGAGAGAUGAUGGCGUCGAUAUGCUCUUACUGGAUUCAAAGGCGACCCUCAUGCUGGCCACUGUGAAUGUUAACCGGCUUGCAACUUACAGGACUUAUCUCAAGGAGGGUUCAAUGUAUUCCAUCACCGGUUUUGAUGUUCAAUGUUCCGUGAAAUCAGAACUUCUGGCUUUCCUACUCCUCCCUGUUGAUUAGAUUCAGUGAUGCUACCUCUUUGGAUGAAAUAACUAAACCGGCUUCACCCAUACCUGAAGAAUGUUUCAGGCUGGUCUCUAGCGACACUGGGCAUGCAUCAGCAGCUCCACUGCUGAGGGGCUAUGCCAAGGUUGAGCCUCUGACUAUAGCUGAGCUCAAAUGAAUUCAGUGACAAGAAUGAAGAAGGGCUCAGACAAAGGGUGAUGCUACGUUUCUUGCUCCAACUGUACCAGGAAGCUUCAACGCACUAUCUCAGCCUUUACAUGUGUUCACUGCAACAAUACUAAAGCUGUUGGUGUCCUUCGGCAUGUAUAAUUCCGUAGCAUGUUGUUUACAUUCAUUUUGGUAUCACGUGUAGGUCUCGACUUUUUAUACACGUUCACUGUCUUAUAGCUACCUUGUGGAGAUGGCCAUUGCUGAUGAUACUGCUGUAGAGUCUAUUUUUCUGCUUUGACAGGGUAAUGACAAAACUGCAUAACAUGAGAGUCUAUGAAGAUGAUAUUCCUGGUGCCAUCUCGGUACCUGCUAAGGCAGAGCCGAAUACAUGAGCAGGUCUAAGUGGUGUCAACACAACUAAGUCUCCAGCACUAGGGUGUUCUAAGAUGGUCAAGAAAGCACGCAAGUCAUAGAUUAAAAUAAUGAUAGAUCUGGCAUCAGUAUUUCCUCUUUGAAUAAUGCUUAGGCAUUGUUGUUUUUCUUUUGUUUUUGAACAAGUUCGUUUAUGUUUUACUCCUCUUUUGGUUAAUCUAUGUUUGGUUUAGACUCUCUUUAUAAAAUAUGUCUCAGUUUCCACAAUUGUUGUACAUCUAACUCACUAUUUAUUUAAGACGGACGACACUUGGUCCCAGCUUAUUGUC